rnacentral:tRNA from 1 species
GACCGGGUGGUGCAGUGGCGGCAUUUGCGGCUCGAGACCGAGAGGUUGCGGGUUCAAAUCCAGCACCGAUCA